GAUGAAGAACGCAGCGAAAUGCGAUAAGUAGUGUGAAUUGCAGAAUUCAGUGAAUCAUCGAAUCUUUGAACGCACAUUGCGCCCCUUGGUAUCCCGAGGGGCAUGCCUGUUCGAGCGUCAUUUCACCACUCAAGCCUGGCUUGGUGUUGGGCGACGUCCCCUUUGGGGACGCGCCUCGAAACGCUCGGCGGCGUGGCACCGGCUUUAAGCGUAGCAGAAUCUUUCGCUUUGGAAGUCGGGGCCCCGUCUGCCGGAAGACCUACUCGCAAGGUUGACCUCGGAUCACGCAGGGAUACCCGCUGAACUUAAGCAUAUCAAUAAGCGGAGGA
rnacentral:misc_RNA from 1 species